rnacentral:misc_RNA from 1 species
GGAAGUUGAAACUUAACGUUGUCUCCGGCAUCAUAAUAACCUCCCACCAAAUCCACCCCUUGAUCAAGUCCGUCGGUAAGGCCGGAAUGAUGACGCCAAAUAGCUCUUUGAUUGUACGGCAAACGACCGGAGCGUUGAGCUUCGAAAUAAAGGAGGCUUUUCGAUAGCGCAUCGGAAUAAUCUAACGAUUGAAUAAACGGAAUUACAAAUCCAAAUGUAAAAAUAAGUGAAAUCCAUUGAUGAAGAAAAC